UGCGGGGUGGAGCAGUGGUAGCUUGUCGGGCUCAUAACCCGAAGGUCGCAGGUUCGAAUCCUGCCCCCGCAC
rnacentral:tRNA from 1 species